GAUGAACGCUGGCGGCGUGCCUAAUACAUGCAAGUCGAGCGAACAGACGAGGAGCUUGCUCCUCUGACGUUAGCGGCGGACGGGUGAGUAACACGUGGAUAACCUACCUAUAAGACUGUGAUAACUUCGGGAAACCGGAGCUAAUACCGGAUAAUAUAUUGAACCGCAUGGUUCAAUAGUGAAAGACGGUUUUGCUGUCACUUAUAGAUGGAUCCGCGCCGCAUUAGCUAGUUGGUAAGGUAACGGCUUACCAAGGCAACGAUGCGUAGCCGACCUGAGAGGGGGAUCGGCCACACUGGAACUGAGACACGGUCCAGACUCCUACGGGAGGCAGCAGUAGGGAAUCUUCCGCAAUGGGCGAAAGCCUGACGGAGCAACGCCGCGUGAGUGAUGAAGGUCUUCGGAUCGUAAAACUCUGUUAUUAGGGAAGAACAAAUGUGUAAGUAACUAUGCACGUCUUGACGGUACCUAAGCAGAAAGCCACGGCUAACUACGU
rnacentral:rRNA from 1 species